GACGAAUAAUUGACUCGUGACCAAAAUCCACUUGAGGUGGUUUUCACUUUCUGUUAGUGGUUGUUGGAUGCUCAUAUUUUGAUUUUGUUGUUUCACACCCAUUCUGCCUUCCUGAACUCCUGUGAUAUUAAACAAACUAGGAACAGCUUGAUCUUGCAAAUUGGUUCCUAUCGGUUGCACAGCUUGGUAUUGCUAUAAAUCAAAUUAAGUUCAACAACAAAGGGUUAUAUAUUUUAGUUCGUGAAAGACAUAUCAUGUAACUGUUAGAUUUAUAUUAUGUAAUUUAUGUUCAUAUGACAUAAAUUGGCGGUUUUAGAUCCUACUCAGUCAGUGCUUACCAAAUCAUUGGCCGAUUCUUGUAAAUCUUCACUCUUGCCAGAAUUGUACAACGUAGAAGUAGGAAGCAGUUCAUGUUCUGUGAAUAUGCUAAACCUUUUUUGGUCUGCUCCAUUUAAGACAUUCAAUUUUCCA